AUGAUUCCAAAACUAUUUAUAUAUUUUAUCAUGCCUUUAAUUAUAUGUUUUGGAGUAUCUCACCCUUUACUUGUUUCGUCGUUGCCUUUAUAUUACUCGAGUCUCUUUAUUUUGAGUCGCUCUGUUCUGAUAAUAGUAACACUCGGGUUUUGGGCGACGUGA